UAAUUGACAAAAGAAAUAGAGUAUGAAUCAGAGGUAACUUAUUUUUAAGAUUUGGGAGAUCUGUUCAAAAAAAAAAGAAGAGAAAAAGAAAGAAUCUGAGGACCUAUAUGUAAACCCUAAGGACCUAAUCGUGAAUAUGAUAAAAACAAGGACUAAACUGCAAAAUGCACCAAAUGACAAAUUCCACCGCUUAAGCUUCUCUGCCUUCGUUGUUAAGGAAGCAGAGGAGGCAGCUCGUGGGUGAUCAGGGAAAGAAAAGAAGAAGAAGAAGAAGAAGAAGAAGAAGGAGAAGAGAAAGAAAAUUUGGGGCUUUUAGGGUUUUUGCUUUAAUCUUGUUACUUCGGGUCAAAAUUUGCAAAGGAUAGCGUAACUCUUGCUUAAAUGUUAAGAAUGGGCUGAGGCAGCGGAAAGUUUAGAAGACGUUGGGCAGAACUUUUGUUAGCAUAUAUGUAGUUGUGUAUAAGCUACCUUGUAUCUAAUGAAAUGUGACUAUGAAUCUAAACCUGUGGAUUUUGUGUAAGUUAAAGGAUCCCUCAUGUAUAGGGUUUUGGUAUGUUAAAUUAAAUUUGUGUAAGGAUAUGAACUUAUGGUAAAUCGAUGAUUGUGGUGACUGCAUAGAUUUUCCCCA